UACAUGGGGUGCAAACGUUGCUCGGAAUUAUUGGGCGUAAAGCGCACGUAGGCGGUUUGUUAAGUCGGAUGUGAAAUCCCUCGGCUCAACUGAGGAAGUGCAUCCGAUACGGGCGAGCUAGAGUUCGGCAGGGGAGACUGGAAUUCCUGGUGUAGCGGUGGAAUGCGCAGAUAUCAGGAGGAACACCGGUGGCGAAGGCGGGUCUCUGGGCCGAUACUGACACUGAGAAGCGAAAGCGUGGGGAGGCGAACAGG
rnacentral:rRNA from 1 species